rnacentral:rRNA from 1 species
AUUGAACGCUGGCGGCAUGCUUUACACAUGCAAGUCGAACGGUAACAGGCCGCAAGGUGCCGACGAGUGGCGGACGGGUGAGUAAUGCAUCGGAACGUGCCCAGUCGUGGGGGAUAACUACUCGAAAGAGUAGCUAAUACCGCAUACGAUCUAUGGAUGAAAGCGGGGGACCGUAAGGCCUCGCGCGAUUGGAGCGGCCGAUGUCAGAUUAGGUAGUUGGUGGGGUAAAGGCUCACCAAGCCAACGAUCUGUAGCUGGUCUGAGAGGACGACCAGCCACACUGGGACUGAGACACGGCCCAGACUCCUACGGGAGGCAGCAGUGGGGAAUUUUGGACAAUGGGCGCAAGCCUGAUCCAGCAAUGCCGCGUGCAGGAAGAAGGCCUUCGGGUUGUAAACUGCUUUUGUACGGAACGAAACGGCUCUGGUUAAUACCCGGGGCUAAUGACGGUACCGUAAGAAUAAGCACCGGCUAACUACGUG